GCCAGGCGUGGUGGCGCAUGCCUGUGGUCCCAGCUACUUGGGAGGCUGAGGCAGGAGAAUCACUUGAGCCCAGGAGGUUGAGGCUGCAGUGAGCCAAGAUCACACCACUGUAUUCCAGCCUGGGUAACAGAGCGAGACCCUGUCUCGA
ensembl:misc_RNA Metazoa_SRP Metazoan signal recognition particle RNA